AAAACUGAGGUGGUAUACGAUGGUUCCGCGUCUGAUUAGCUAGUUGGUGGGGUAAUGGCCUACCAAGGCGACGAUCAGUAGCCGGCCUGAGAGGGUGAACGGCCACAUUGGGACUGAGACACGGCCCAAACUCCUACGGGAGGCAGCAGUGGGGAAUAUUGCACAAUGGGGGAAACCCUGAUGCAGCGACGCCGCGUGAGUGAAGAAGUAUUUCGGUAUGUAAAGCUCUAUCAGCAGGGAAGAAAAACCGACCAUAGGGUCGCUAGACGGUACCUGAUUAAGAAGCCCCGGCUAACUACGUGCCAGCAGCCGCGGUAAUACGUAGGGGGCAAGCGUUAUCCGGAUUUACUGGGUGUAAAGGGAGCGUAGACGGCAGCGCAAGUCUGAAGUGAAAUGCCGGGGCUUAACCCCGGAACUGCUUUGGAAACUGAGCAGCUAGAGUGCAGGAGAGGUAAGUGGAAUUCCUAGUGUAGCGGUGAAAUGCGUAGAUAUUAGGAGGAACACCAGUGGCGAAGGCGGCUUACUGGACUGUAACUGACGUUGAGGCUCGAAAGCGUGGGGAGCAAACAGGAUUAGAUACCCUGGUAGUCCACGCGGUAAACGAUAAUUACUAGGUGUUGGGGGACCAAGGUCCUUCG
rnacentral:rRNA from 1 species